rnacentral:rRNA from 1 species
GAUGAACGCUAGCUACAGGCUUAACACAUGCAAGUCGAGGGGAAACGACAUCGAAAGCUUGCUUUUGAUGGGCGUCGACCGGCGCACGGGUGAGUAACGCGUAUCCAACCUGCCCAUCACUUGGGGAUAACCUUGCGAAAGUAAGACUAAUACCCAAUGAUAUCUCUAGAAGACAUCUGAAAGAGAUUAAAGAUUUAUCGGUGAUGGAUGGGGAUGCGUCUGAUUAGCUUGUUGGCGGGGUAACGGCCCACCAAGGCAACGAUCAGUAGGGGUUCUGAGAGGAAGGUCCCCCACAUUGGAACUGAGACACGGUCCAAACUCCUACGGGAGGCAGCAGUGAGGAAUAUUGGUCAAUGGGCGAGAGCCUGAACCAGCCAAGUAGCGUGCAGGAAGACGGCCCUAUGGGUGGUAAACUGCUUUUAUAAGGGAAGAAAGUGAGAGUCGUGACUCUUUUUGUAUGUACCUUAUGAAUAAGAACCGGCUAAUUCCGUG